GAUGAACGCUGGCGGCGUGCCUAACACAUGCAAGUCGAGCGAACGGACGCGAAGCUUGCUUUUCUGAUGUUAGCGGCGGACGGGUGUGUAACACGUGGAUACCCUCCCUAUAAGACUGGGAUAACUUCGGGACACCGGAGCUAAUACCGGAUAAUCUUUUGAACCGCAGGGUUCAAUAGUGAAAGACGGUGUUGCUGUCUGUUAUAGCUGGAUCCGGGCUGUAUUAGCUAGUUGGUAGGGUAACGGCUUACCAAGGCAACCAUGCAUAGACGACCUGUGAGAGGGGUCGGCGGCAUGGGAGCGGAGACACGGUCAAGACGACUGAGGGAGGGAGCAGUAGGGAAUCUGCCGCAGUGGGCGAAAGUCUGACGGAGCAAGGCCGAGUCAGUGAUGGAGGUCUUCGGAGCGUAAAACUCUGUUAUUAGUUGAGAACAGAUGUGGAAGUAAAUGUGGACUGCUUGACGGUAACUAGUCAGAAAGCCACGGCUAACUACGUG
rnacentral:rRNA from 1 species